AACGAACGCUGGCGGCAGGCCUAACACAUGCAAGUCGAGCGCUCUCUUCGGAGGGAGCGGCGGACGGGUUAGUAACGCGUGGGAACGUACCCUUCUCUACGGAAUAGCCUCGGGAAACUGAGAGUAAUACCGUAUACGCCCUUUGGGGGAAAGAUUUAUCGGAGAAGGAUCGGCCCGCGUUGGAUUAGGUAGUUGGUGGGGUAACGGCCUACCAAGCCUACGAUCCAUAGCUGGUUUGAGAGGAUGAUCAGCAACACUGGGACUGAGACACGGCCCAGACUCCUACGGGAGGCAGCAGUGGGGAAUCUUAGACAAUGGGCGCAAGCCUGAUCUAGCCAUGCCGCGUGAGUGACGAAGGCCUUAGGGUCGUAAAGCUCUUUCGCCAGGGAUGAUAAUGACAGUACCUGGUAAAGAAACCCCGGCUAACUCCGUGCCAGCAGCCGCGGUAAUACGGAGGGGGUUAGCGUUGUUCGGAAUUACUGGGCGUAAAGCGCGCGUAGGCGGAUUAUUAAGUUAGGGGUGAAAUCCCGGGGCUCAACCCCGGAACUGCCUCUAAUACUGGUAGUCUUGAGUUCGAGAGAGGUGAGUGGAAUUCCGAGUGUAGAGGUGAAAUUCGUAGAUAUUCGGAGGAACACCAGUGGCGAAGGCGGCUCACUGGCCUCCGAAAA
rnacentral:rRNA from 1 species